rnacentral:rRNA from 1 species
CGAAAGCCUGACGGAGCAACGCCGCGUGAGGGAGGAAGGCCUGUGGGUUGUAAACCUCUUUUCUCAGGGAAGAAGUUCUGACGGUACCUGAGGAAUCAGCAUCGGCUAACUCCGUGCCAGCAGCCGCGGUAAGACGGAGGAUGCAAGCGUUAUCCGGAAUUAUUGGGCGUAAAGCGUCCGUAGGCGGUUCAGAAAGUCUGCUGUUAAAGCUCACAGCUCAACUGUGAAUCGGCAGUGGAAACUUCUGGACUAGAGAGUGGUAGGGGUAGAGGGAAUUCCUAGUGUAGCGGUGAAAUGCGUAGAUAUUAGGAAGAACACCAGUGGCGAAGGCGCUCUACUGGGCCAUUACUGACGCUGAUGGACGAAAGCU